rnacentral:rRNA from 1 species
GUCCACGCCGUAAACGAUGGAUGCUAGCCGUUGGUAAGCAUGCUUAUCAGUGGCGCAGCUAACGCAUUAAGCGUCCCGCCUGGGGAGUACGGCCGCAAGGUUGAAACUCAAAGGAAUUGACGGGGGCCCCGCACAAGCGGUGGAGCAUGUGGUUUAAUUCGACGCAACGCGCAGAACCUUACCAGGGUUUGACAUCCCGCGCUAAACCCAGAGAUGGGUGGUUCCCGCAAGGGACGCGGAGACAGGUGCUGCAUGGCUGUCGU